AGGGGAUACGAGGGUCAUCUGUUUGGACCACCAAAUCAUUUAGUUUACCGCGUACCAGUUGGUUUCAGAUUUGCAAAUGAAUUCAAUGCAAGCACCCUUUUGUGUCACUUCAUCAAAUUUGUGUGAAAAUUAGAUGACAUGAUCCAGAGAGGUCCCCUCUUCUAAUUAUUGCUUCUCCUCCUUUGCACAUCUUCCCUUUUCAAUGCUAAUCAAUUUGCACCAACUCUUUAUAUCCCUUCUUCUCUUUGCCUCUCUCCCCCUUGUCUUUUUUUUUUUUUUUAUUCUCUCUAUUGAUUUAUUCAAAAUUUUUCUCAUUGAUAUUAGUUAAACAAUUAAUCCAUGAUGCGGGUAGGGAAUUCUUUACUUUUUUUCUCUUUUUCUUUCUUGUUCAUCAUUAAUUUGUUUGCCCUGAUUGAUACUUGAUGAUAGUGACCCCUUGUGCUUUUUGUAGUUAAUUUUGUAAUCUCUAGACAGAGGAAGAGAUACAAAGUUAACAAGAAGUUGCAGCUAAGCUAGCUACAGCAUAUAAACAGCUAGUUCCUCCUUUUUUAUUGAUUCUUUGGAUUGAUUCUUUUGGUUUGGUGAAGUUAUAGCCAAGGCCAGAUGCCCAAAGCUACAUAAAUGGGAAAGAUGAGCUUACAAGCAAUGUUGGAUUAGCACCUUCUACGCACGGAUGCAUCUUAUCCCAGCAAUAAUACAUUUUAGUUACUUUAUGCACUUAAUGCCUGUAAAUGGACUAAAUUAGGGUACUCUCUCUCUCUCUCUCUCU
rnacentral:misc_RNA from 1 species